CAGUUGCUAGGUGGUUGCUAAGGUGUUGCUAGGUGGUUGCUAAGGUGUUGCUAUGGUAUCCGGGGUGGUUGCUAAGGUGUUGCUAGGUGGUUGCUAGGCGGUUGCUUAAGUGUUGCUAUGGUAUCCGGGGUGGAUGCUAUGGUGUGGUUGCUAAGGUGUUGCUAGGUGGUUGCUAAGGUGUUGCUAUGGUAUCCAGGGUGGUUGCUAAGGUGUUGCUAGGUGGUUGCUAAGGUGUUGCUAUGGUAUCCUGGGUGGUUGCUAAGGUGUUUCUAGGUGGUUGCUAAGGUGUUGCUAGGUGGUUGCUAAGGUGUUGCUAUGGUAUCCAGGGUGGUUGCUAAGGUGUUGCUAGGUGGUUGCUAGGUGGUUGCUAGGGUGUUGCUAGGUGGUUGCUAAGGUGUUGCUAUGGUAUCCAGGGUGGUUGCUAAGGUGUUGCUAGGUGGUUGCUAAGGUGUUGCUAGGUGGUUGCUAAGGUGUUGCUAUGGUAUCCGGGGUGGUUGCUAAGGUGUUGCUAGGUGGUUGCAAGGUGGUUGCUAAGGUGUUGCUAGGCGGUUGCUAAGGUGUUGCUAUGGUGUCUAGGGUGGUUGCUAAGGUGUUGCUAGGUGGUUGCUAAGAUGUUGCUAUGGUAUCUGGGGUGGUUGCUAAGGUGUUGCUAGGUGUAUCUAACUGGUCGCUAGGCAGUUGCUACCAUUUCUAAAGUGGUUGCUAAGCAGUUGCUAGGCAGUUGCUAACGUUUUCCAGGUGGUUGCUAAGGUGUAUCUAACUGGUUCCUAGGCAGUAGUAGAUAAAAAGAAAGAGUGUUAAAUGUAGAAGUACAGAAAAAGGGAGAGCCUGAAAUAGAGAAGUAGAGAGAAAAUCAGCGUGAGAAGUAGAGAAAGAACACCCGAGAAUGUGAGAAAAAGAGUGACAAGUAGAGAGAAAUAUUGAGCGAGAGAAAGAGAAUUAGGGAAAAAGAGAGAUCGAGAAAUAAAGAAGUAGAGAAAGAAAAAGGAUGUAGUAGAGAGAUAGA